GCUAGGGAGUUUCCCUCACUGCGUGAAAGCGAGAAUGAAAUCGCUGCUGCUUUUCCUAUCCCUGUUCUCUGCCCCCUCCUGUGUCCUCUCUCAGGUGCAGCUGGUCCAGACCGGCCCAGGCGCGGUGAAGCCAGGAGGGACCCUCAGUAUCACCUGUAAAGUCUCUGGAGUCUCCGUCAGUGACUACUACUGGAACUGGAACCGGCAGCCCCCUGGGAAAGGGCUGGAGUGGAUGGGGUUUAUCCGCAGCACUGCACGGGGGGGGACCACAGAGUAUAACUCGGCUCUCAAACCUCGUGUCACCAUCACCAGGGACACCUCUAAAAACGAAGUUUAUUUCCAGCUCGGCUCGCUGACAGCUGCAGACACCAGCACCUAUUACUGCACCAGAGAAGCCACACGGUAA